AAUAUUAUUCCAGAAUAACUUUGACACGAGUUGUAUAACUUUAUCUGCUGUCAUUCAUUCAUUUUUUUCCCAGGUAUCCCUGUUUUAAGCUUGAACUAUCUUUGCAAUAUUCAUUUAAAACCCAUCGUUUGCUGAUUUGAGCGGAUUGGAGCUUCAGUCUCAGGAUUUGAGGGUUCCUUUGGGACUCCAGGAUGUGUCAGGAAUUCAAACAGAUCAAAGUUUUACCAAAAGAAAUCACAAGUUCUGCUAAAACAGUGCAGCUGAACUCCAGCCUAGACGUAUGCAUGCAGCAUGAGCUUUAGCUUCAGACUCUUGGUGCAUUCUGCCCAGCUCCAGGAGGAAAAAGGACACAGUUGGACGUCAACUCAGCAAUGUGGACGAAACCCGUGUGGAUGCUGAUGACAUUGUAGAAAAAAUUAUACAGAGCCAGAACUUUUCUGACAUCGGCAGCAAUGAAGACAGCAACUUGAGAUUGUUUGUCAGCAAAGAUGGUACGGUUGCUCUUAGUGGGACACACAUUGCAAACAGAGAAUCUCCUGGUGUUUUUGAGCCUGUGGUCAUUGAAACUCGUUGAGAGAACCUGGACUUCACUUCAUGACACUGUUCAGACCGUGGAACAGCACUCCUCUGUUAGAGAAAUGACCUGUCCUAAUGUUUGUUACAACUUUUGCUGUACCGUGUUUAGAAUAUGAUAUUUAUACUUUGACCAUAGAACAAGGGGAACACAGGUUGGUUAGCUACUCUUCCAGUUUGAUGAAUGUCUGACUGCAGACGUAUAGUUUUUGACGUGUAAAGUAAAAUUCAAUUCUAUAUCAAUGGUGUUAGGCUACCGUAGGUGAACAACAGACGGGCAACCUGUUCAGAAUGAACACUGCCUUCGUCUAACUGUAGCUGGGAUGGAAUUAGCAGCUCUGUGACCAACAGGUUCUAUGGAUGGAUGGAUGGAUGGAUGGAUGGUUGGAUGGAUGGAUGGAUG